rnacentral:rRNA from 1 species
UACGUAGGGGGCGAGCGUUGUCCGGAUUUAUUGGGCGUAAAGAGCGUGUAGGCGGCCAGGUAGGUCCGCUGUGAAAUCUCGAGGCUCAACUUCGAGCUGUCGGUGGAAACUGUCUGGCUAGAGUCCGGAAGAGGAGAAUGGAAUUCCUGGUGUAGCGGUGAAAUGCGCAGAUAUCAGGAAGAACACCCGUGGCGAAGGCGGUUCUCUGGGACGGUACUGACGCUGAGACGCGAAAGCGUGGGGAGCGAACAGG